UACGGAGGGUGCAAGCGUUAAUCGGAAUUACUGGGCGUAAAGCGUGCGUAGGCGGUUCGUUAAGUCUGUUGUGAAAUGCCCCGGGCUCAACCUGGGAAUGGCAAUGGAGACUGCAAGGCUAGAAUCUGGCAGAGGGGGGUAGAAUUCCACGUGUAGCAGUGAAAUGCGUAGAUAUGUGGAGGAACACCGAUGGCGAAGGCAGCCCCCCUGGGCUAAGAUUGACGCUCAUGCACGAAAGCGUGGGGAGCAAACAGG
rnacentral:rRNA from 1 species